rnacentral:rRNA from 1 species
GACGAACGCUGGCGGCGUGCUUAGCACAUGCAAGUCGAACGGAAAGGCCCUGCUUUUGUGGGGUGCUCGAGUGGCGAACGGGUGAGUAACACGUGAGUAACCUGCCCUUGACUUUGGGAUAACUUCAGGAAACUGGGGCUAAUGCCGGAUAGGAGUUCCUGCUGCAUGGUGGGGGUUGGAAAGUUUCGGCGGUUGGGGAUGGACUCGCGGCUUAUCAGCUUGUUGGUGGGGUAGUGGCUUACCAAGGCUUUGACGGGUAGCCGGCCUGAGAGGGUGACCGGCCACAUUGGGACUGAGAUACGGCCCAGACUCCUACGGGAGGCAGCAGUGGGGAAUAUUGCACAAUGGGCGGAAGCCUGAUGCAGCAACGCCGCGUGCGGGAUGACGGCCUUCGGGUUGUAAACCGCUUUCGCCUGUGACGAAGCGUGAGUGACGGUAAUGGGUAAAGAAGCACCGGCUAACUACGUG